rnacentral:rRNA from 1 species
AUCUGUCUUCUGAACUUGAUAGGACUUCCUUGUCCUCUACCGUAGAGAGGGACAAGGCUCACACGUCCGGUACCACCGCCGGUGGCCGCCUCGGCUGCACGGCGGUUCCAUAGAGGCCGGCCGUCUCGGCCAGCGACCGCUGUCGCUCCGGGUCUAGGGGUAGUAGCUGAUGGUCUACGACGAUGACCUCGACCUGGACCUGGCGACACCGCUCCUCAGACGUACGGAAGUGUCCCGGACGGUCCUGACCCCGAAGAAGGUCGACAUUGGUGUCGCAGGGUCUGCUACACCAUCUCCCUUACUUCCGGUCGUAGGUCGUCAAGAAAGUCAAUGGGUACCUCUGCUUCUUUGUCAAACGAGUCCUCGCUCCCGUCGACCUUCCGAUGCCAGUUGAUAAGCAAAAGAGGCUCCUAGUCUUCGACCUAACCCGACUGUAUGAAAUGGAGGUGUGCGUCGGUGUACUCUCGUCCUUGUGGUUCGAGACCGGUCUGGUCGGACGGUUGAAGUCUAGUUGCGACCUAUCUAUAAGACUACGACACUUCCUGCAUAGUCUGAGCGAAAACCGGUGUUACCGCUUCUUGAACCCUGACCUUUCUCUUCACUAGUGACCGUUUACGUAGGUACCUUACGUCAGACAGUCUUACUUGAUGAUGGGGGGUACACGGGUUCGUCUCUUUCAGCAACCGAAUAGGGGCGUAAGACUACGACCAGAGGAUUGGGAGCAGGAGGCUCACUUAGUACAGGUCCCGGACGUCUAGUUCUCCUUGCCGUCGACCGAAGGACAGUUCGAACAGAGCCCGCGAAAGUAGCAGUUGUAGCCUCUAUACGAACUCCAGAAGUGUUUGCCCUCCAUGUUCUCGUAGCUCGUGGCCCGCCAACAGGUGGGCUUCCUCCUUGCCGACAGCCAGCGUCGCAAGGUGAAUGGUUUGUAGGUGCGGUAAUAUUCAGGCGACUUCCUCUACCGCCGUGUACUUCUGCUACGGAUGUCCUGCAACCUGGUACUCUCGAAGUACUUCGAAAAGAUGCGUUGCUUGGAGCUCCCCUUCUCGAAGAACCUCGCCGACUUCGAUUUGAUCGAACGGUCGUGGAAUUACGAUGGCAUAUAGUCCAUUGUUCGGUACAACUACGUCCGUGACAACUAAACGCAGGCACGUGGUAAGAACAUAGUCUACGAGUCUGUCAUACUGUGUACAUAGCCAAACGUUGGCUAGUAAGAGGCUUUAAAUCAAAGGCUAUCGAUCGGCAGAACAAUCUCCGUGUAUAAAACACCAAAGCCACACAAGACACGUUUGGAAAUAAAUACAGUGGAUUAGCGUAAGUUAUCUAACAACAAAGAUGAUCGGAUAUAUAGGUGACAAUUAAGGAGAUACGACGAACUACGGAAGAUGUUUCACCCAAUACACGACACACCGGUACUCCGUCGAAAUACCAAAGUCAAAGGUAGGUCACAGUACAACUAAGGGUACUCUAUCUUCUAUCAACUAGGGGUCUUUUAUUUUCUUCUUCUGUUUGUUCAACCGUCAUAAAAAUACCAACAACAUCGACCUGACUUGAAGACUUAUGAUAUAAUGACCUGACCUACUACGGUCUUCCGUACUCCAUCUGUCUUCCCUUCUGACUCGAUAGUCUCCUUGAUCAUCGUAGAGUCCUCGUUGUUGUCCUGUACCUUAGAGAGGGGCAGGGCUCACACGUCCGGUACCACCGCCGGUGGCCGCCUCGGCUACACGGUGGCUCCAUAGAGGCCGGACGCCUCCGCCAGCGACCGUAGCAGCUACCGCUCCCACUCCGGGUCUAGGGGUAGUAGCUGAUGGCCUCCGACGACGACCUCGACCUAGCGGCACCACUCCUCAGGCGCGCGGAGGUGGCCCGGACGGUCCUUACCCCGAAGAAGGUCGACUAAUUGGUGUCACAGGGUGUGCUACACCACCUCCGUUACUUCCGGUUGUAAGUCGUUAAGAAAGUCGAUGGGCGUCUCUGUUUCUUUGCUAAGCGCGUCCUCGCUCCCGUCGACCUUCCGAUGCCAGUCGACAAGCAGCAGAGCCUCCUAGUCUUCGAACUGACCCGACUAUACGAAAUGGAGAUGUGUGUCGGUGGACUCUCGUCCUUGUGGUUCAAGACCGGACUGGUCGGACAAUUGAAGUCUAGCUGCGACCUAUCUAUGAGACCACGACACUUCCUCUAUCGCCUAAGGGAAAACCGCUACAACCGCCUCUUGAACCCUGACUUUGUUCUCCACUAACGACUGUCUACGCACCCGCCUCACGUCAGACAGUCCUACUUGAUGAUGGGCGGCACGCGAGUUCGUCUGUUUCAGCAGCCGAAGAGGGGCGUGAGACUACGACUAGAGGACUGGGAGCAGGAGGUUCACUUGGUACAGGUUCCGGACGUCUAGUUCUCCUUACCGUCGACCAAGGGGCAGUCCGGGCAGCUCCCGCGAGAGUAGCAGUUGUAACCCCUAUAAAAACUCUAGAAGUGUUUACCCUCCAUGUCCUCGUAGCUCGUGGCACGCCAGCAGCUGGGGUUCCUCCUUGCCGACAGCCGGCGUCGCAAGGUGAGGGGCUUGUAGGUGAGGUGCUAUCCGGGCGACUUCCUCGAAUGCCGCCUGCUUCUGCUCCGUAUGUUCUGCCACCUGGUGCUCUUGAAGUACUCCGAAAAGAAGCGCUGCUUCGACCUCCCCUUCUCGAAGAACCUAGCCUACUUCGACUUCAUCGAUCGUCGACUAACGAUGCUUGGGUCGUAUCGUCCAUUUGACACAACAACCAGGAGCGUAGCAACAGUCUAUAAGUCCAUCAAGUACGACACAUUGGUUGGAAUUACUCCGGGAUUGUCUAGUACGAGACCUUAAAUCAAGGACUACCGGCAGAACCAUCUCGCGUUCUCUCGACUUGAACCGUUUGUAUUAUUAUAACACUAAAGAAGUCAUCAACGAGCACUUGGCACGAACACAAGACGUUUUGAAACUAUCUAAACAAGGACGCACGAACUACAGCACAUGUUUCACCCGAUACACGACGACACAAUAAAGUCAAAGACAGGUCACACUUUUGUCAACUAAGGGUCUUUUAUUCUAUUCUUACCUUCAACUAGGGGUCUUUUAUUUUCUUACUCUUUUGUUCGUUCAAGUGUGAAAAGAUAAAGGUACCAACACCGACCUGAUUAAAAGGCUUAUAAUGUAGUGACCUACUACGCACAAGCGAUGGUAGACAUAGACGGAUAGACACGGUUUUCUGUACUCCAUCGGUCUAGUCUUCUGAGAUCGUAGGCUGCUUGGUCAUCGUAGAGUUAAUAGUUCUCGCCGUUCGCUACCCUAGAGAGGGGCAGGGCUCACACGUCCGGAACCACCGCCGGUGGCCGCCUCUGCUACGCCGUCGUCUUCGCCAGUGGACACUGCCGCUGCCGCUGCCGCUGCCGCUCCGAGUCUAGGGGUAGUAGCUGGUGGCUUCCGACGACGACCUCGACCUGGUACCGCCGCUCCUCAGACGCGCGGAGGUGUCUCGGACGGUCCUGACCCCGAAGAAGGUCAAUCAAUUGGUGUCACAGGGUCUGCUACACCACCUCUCGUACUUCCGGUUGUAGGUCGUUAAGAAGGUCGAUGGGCGUCUCUGCUUCUUCGCUAAGCGAGUCCUCGUUCCCGUCGAUCUUCCGAUGCCAGUUGAUAAGCAGCAGAGGCUCCUAGUCUUCGAGCUGACCCGACUGUACGAGAAGGAGAUGCGUGUCGGUGGACUCUCCUCCUUCUGGUUCAAGACCGGACUGGUCGGACGAUGGAAGUCUAGCUGCGACCUAUCUAUAAGACCACGCGACUUCCUACAUAGUCUGAGGGAAAACCGAUGUUACCGGUUCUUGAACCCUGACUUUGCUCUUUGCUAGCGACUGUUUACGUAGGCACCUUACGUCAGAAAGUCUUACUUGAUGAUGGGGGUUACGCGGGUUCGUCUCUUUCAGCAACCGAACAGGGGCGUGAGACUACGAUUAGAGGAUUGGGAACAGGAGGUUCACUUAGUACAGGUCCCGGACGUCUAGUUCUCCUUGCCGUCGACCGAGGGACAGUUCGGACAGGGCCCGCGAAAGUAGCAGUUGUAGCCUCUAUACAAUCUCCAGAAGUGCUUGCCCUCCAUGUCCUCGUAGCUCGUGGCCCGUCAGCAGCUGGGGUUCCUUCUCGCCGACAGCCAGCGCCGCAAGGUGAAGGGUCUGUACCUGCGGUACUAUCCAGGAGACUUCCUCGACUGGCGCGUACUCCUGCUACGGAUGUUCUGCAACCUGGAGCUCUCGAAGUACUUCUAGAAGAAGCGCUGCUUCGAGCUCCCCUACUCGAAGAAUCUGGCCUACUUCGAUUUGAUCGUCGACGACUCACUGUCAAUUUGAGACAACAACAGCCAAUGCUUAUAGGCCACGUAGACACCACAGACAAUAGCAAAGUCAAGGAUAGGUCACACUUUUUAUUUCCUUAUUACCUCCAACUCCAACUAGGGGUCUUCUUCUUUUGUUCGUUCAACCGUACUAACAUCGACC